AACACACACCAUGCUAAUGCUAAUCAAAAGAAAGCUGGCACAGGGUGCCUGGGUGGCUCAGUUAAGCGUCCAACUCUUGGUUUCAGCUCAGGUCAUGAUCUCACGGCUUCGUGAGAUCAAGCCCCACGUUGGGCUCUGUGCUGACAGCACAGAGCCUGCUUGGCAUUAUCUCUUUCCCUCUCUCUCUGCCCCUACCCAGCUCACUCUCUCUCUCUCUC